CUUCAAGAAUAUCUAAUGGAGUGAAAUUAACGACAUACUGUUUUGAGCCAGAUGACUUUUCACAGUUCUUUAAAUAAACAGGCUACAGGGAGGAAUACUCCCCCAACUUUCCUAAAGGCUAAAAACAUUUCUAUGCUAAAGAAACCAAGGGCAAAUAUUAAGAAACAAAGGGUCUAUGGAAAGAAGAGGCUGGGAGUAGAAGAGAGAAUAUGGAAAGCAGAAGGGAGCAGGAGAAAGGCAACACAAAGAAGUGAAGUGAGACAAAGGAGAGACCAGCUUCUCUCCCCUACAUCCAUCACCUCCAAUUUCCCUAAAAAGGAAACCUCCUGGCACCACCAAGCCUGAUUAGAAACUAAAAAUGGAAAUUUAGGAAAAUGUGUGAUAUUUCAGCUUGAAUAAAGAACUGUUUUUAGUG